rnacentral:rRNA from 1 species
GUGCCAGCCGCCGCGGUAAUACGUAGGUGGCGAGCGUUGUCCGGAAUUAUUGGGCGUAAAGGGUGCGUAGGCGGUUUUCUAAGUGAGAUGUGAAAUCCACGGGCUUAACCUGUGAAUUGCAUUUCAAACUGGAAGGCUUGAGUGCAGGAGAGGAAAGCGGAAUUCCCAGUGUAGUAGUGAAAUGCGUAGAUAUUGGGAGGAACACCAGUGGCGAAGGCGGCUUUCUGGACUGUAACUGACGCUGAUGCACGA